AGUGGGAUAGCUGGGUCAAAUGGUUUCAUUCCCAGUUUUCCAAGGAAUCUCCAUAUUGUUUUCCAGAUUGGUUGCACCAAUUUGCAGUCCCACCAGCAUU
rnacentral:pre_miRNA from 1 species